rnacentral:rRNA from 1 species
CGGCGUGCUAUACUGCAAGUCGAGCGAAUGGAUUAAGAGCUUGCUCUUAUGAAGUUAGCGGCGGACGGGUGAGUAACACGUGGGUAACCUGCCCAUAAGACUGGGAUAACUCCGGGAAACCGGGGCUAAUACCGGAUAACAUUUUGAACCGCAUGGUUCGAAAUUGAAAGGCGGCUUCGGCUGUCACUUAUGGAUGGACCCGCGUCGCAUUAGCUAGUUGGUGAGGUAACGGCUCACCAAGGCAACGAUGCGUAGCCGACCUGAGAGGGUGAUCGGCCACACUGGGACUGAGACACGGCCCAGACUCCUACGGGAGGCAGCAGUAGGGAAUCUUCCGCAAUGGACGAAAGUCUGACGGAGCAACGCCGCGUGAGUGAUGAAGGCUUUCGGGUCGUAAAACUCUGUUGUUAGGGAAGAACAAGUGCUAGUUGAAUAAGCUGGCACCUUGACGGUACCUAACCAGAAAGCCACGGCUAACUACGUGCCAGCAGCCGCGGUAAUACGUAGGUGGCAAGCGUUAUCCGGAAUUAUUGGGCGUAAAGCGCGCGCAGGUGGUUUCUUAAGUCUGAUGUGAAAGCCCACGGCUCAACCGUGGAGGGUCAUUGGAAACUGGGAGACUUGAGUGCAAAAGAGGAAAGUGGAAUUCCNUGUGUAGCGGUGAAAUGCGUUAAGAUAUGGAGGAACACCAGUGGCGAAGGCGAUUUUCUGCCCUGUAACCGACCCUCAUGCGCGAAAACAGGCGGAGAAACACGA